rfam:Anas platyrhynchos breed Pekin duck contig194427, whole genome shotgun sequence.
GGAGGAGGCCUCGGAGGAGGAUCGAGCAGAUCCCUUUAUAUAAAGGGAUCUGCUCGAUCCUCCUCCGAGGCCUCCUCC